CGCUCGGCCGCGAUGCUUCUCACUUUCUGCUCCAGCUGCCGUCGCCGCCGCCGCCGCCUGGAUCGCCACCGCCAUCCCCGCCUCCUCUUCCUCCUCCUCCUCCUCCUCUGCCUCGAAGCGUCGUUUUCUGCAGCAGAGGAGAGAAGUGCUAUGUCAGGAAAGUUCCGGGAGGGACUGGCUGGGGCCAUGCUCCCCGGGCUCUCCCGCAGGCGCCCGCGCGCAGCCCUUUGUAUGAGGCAAAAGGACUCCUAUGGAAGAUGGAAGUCUUUGUGCGUUUUCCAGAGUGUGUUUCCAAGCCCAUCAGUUAAACAUGAUACUGCUGCUCUGUGUUGAAAUACUUGAAGAACACCUACAUCUCUGCCGGCGCCUUCCAUCCUGCUGAAACCAUGGUAUUCUCUGCAGUGUUGACUGCGUCCCAUACCGGGGCAUCCAACACAACAUUCGUAGUUUAUGAAAACACCAACAUGAAUAUUACGGUCCCUCCACCAUUCCAGCAUCCCGACAUGGGUUCGCUGCUUAGAUACAGUUUUGAAACCAUGGCUCCCACCGGGAUGAGUUCCUUGACACUGAAUAGUACAGCUGUGCCCCCAACACCAGCGGUUUUAAAGAGCCUAAACUUGCCUCUCCAGAUCAUCCUUUCUGCUAUAAUGAUAUUUAUUCUGUUUGUGUCUUUUCUUGGGAACUUGGUUGUGUGCCUCAUGGUUUACCAAAAAGCUGCCAUGCGCUCCGCCAUUAACAUCCUCCUGGCCAGCCUGGCUUUUGCAGACAUGUUGCUUGCAGUUCUGAACAUGCCCUUUGCCUUGGUCACCAUUCUUACCACCAGAUGGAUUUUUGGGAAAUUCUUCUGUAGGGUAUCUGCCAUGUUUUUCUGGUUGUUUGUGAUAGAGGGAGUAGCCAUCCUGCUCAUCAUUAGCAUCGAUAGGUUUCUUAUUAUAGUCCAGAGGCAGGAUAAGCUGAAUCCAUAUAGGGCUAAAGUUCUCAUUGCAGUUUCUUGGGCAACUUCUUUUUGUGUAGCUUUUCCUUUGGCAGUAGGAAACCCUGACCUGCAGAUACCUUCCCGAGCCCCGCAGUGUGUGUUUGGGUACACAACCAAUCCAGGUUACCAGGCUUACGUGAUUUUGAUUUCUCUCAUUUCUUUCUUCCUACCCUUUCUGGUGAUACUGUAUUCGUUCAUGGGCAUACUCAAUACCCUUCGGCACAAUGCCUUGAGGAUCCAUAGCUACCCCGAAGGUAUAUGCCUCAGCCAGGCCAGCAAACUGGGUCUCAUGAGUCUACAGAGACCCUUCCAGAUGAGCAUUGACAUGGGCUUUAAAACACGUGCCUUCACAACCAUUUUGAUUCUCUUUGCUGUCUUCAUUUUCUGCUGGGCCCCAUUCACCACUUACAGCCUUGUGGCGACGUUCAGCAAGCACUUUUACUAUCAACACAACUUUUUUGAGAUUAGCACCUGGCUACUCUGGCUCUGCUACCUCAAGUCUGCAUUGAACCCACUGAUUUACUACUGGAGGAUUAAGAAAUUCCAUGACGCCUGCCUGGACAUGAUGCCUAAGUCCCUCAAGUUUUUGCCGCGGCUCCCUGGCCACACAAGGCGACGGAUACGCCCCAGUGCUGUCUACGUGUGUGGGGAACAUCGGACGGUGGUGUGAAUAUUGGAACUGCCUGACGUUUUGGGUGAUGGUUGUUCUUUAUCUGACUUCGAAUUUUUUUCUCGUGGCUUCUCCACUUAAACUAUAUUGUUUUUCAUAGGGUGUGUGUGUGUGUGUGUGUGUGUGUGUGUGUGUGCGCAGUGUGAAGAAAGAAUGGUGAUUAGUUACAAGUCUGUUACCAAGGAUACACAAUAGGGAAGUGAUCACACGUGUUACCUCCAGGGUUCAAGAGAAAUCCUUGACUUAGGGUGGGGGGAUGGUUUUCUGUUCCUUUGAUUGAUUUUGUUUUUCUAGUAGGAAUCAGGAUUGUGCUUUAUUGAGCCUGCAGUUACAGUGAAUUGUAGCUAUUCUGUAUGCUGCUAAGAUGCUUUGUCGAGUUUAUCAAUUAUUUUUUUCUGGAAGAGAAGACACUGCUGCUUUUUGCCAUCACAUUGGAGCCAAAAACCACAUACAUCUCAGUAGAUAAAUAUUUAGUUUUAUUUAAAAAAAAUAACCCAAGGGGGUUAGUGACAUUCUAAAGGUCAUGAAUAUUUACUUUGGUGCACUUUAAGAAACAAUGUACAGACUAAUUCAGUCAUGUUUUUCAGAAUUGUUUUUAUACAUGACACGUUGUGCUUCAGAAAACAUUGCAUUAUUUCUAGGAAGAUAGUUUUUUAAAAAUGUUUUGUCUGUAUGUACAGUUUUAAAGGAGGGAACAUAAAAAUGAAGAACUUUUUCUAAGCACAAUAGUGAUUCUUUGGAGCGGUAGGGCAGAGUUGAGAUAGAGCACCCUUGCGAAUUUCAGUGGGAUGCAGUGAGGCUGUGGCUGGUGCGGGCUGUGGCGAUUCCUUUUACCCAAGGAUUCUCUGAGUCCAGUGGGGAGAAGGGCACCAUUUACUGGACGUCUGCCAUGUGCCAGGCCCUGUGCAUCAUUUUAUCCUCACAGCAUCCUGUGAGGGAAGUAUUAUUUCUUCCUUUUUGCAGAUGAAGAAGGCAAGUCUCAGAGAGACUAAAACCCUGCCCAAGGUUCGUGGUAGAGCUGGGAUCCAAAACUCUGUCCGAGUCCUGAGACUGCAUUUCUACUGUACCACACGGACACCUCGUUCAGGUUCAGGUUUGGACGUUUCAGAGUCAAGAGGGAACUAUGUAUGUUUCUUAAAAUUGAAUAUCUGAAGAGCAUAUGGCACCAUAUCAGGAAUCAGGACUUUGGAAGGUGGACGUCAUCAUGAAAGACCUGGGAAACUCUGCUCUUGAGGCGGUUGUCAUGGUAUUGGAACUCAUUUUCCAGUUAACUUCUCUUUUGGGAUUCAAGCAUGUUAUUCAAUAUGUUGUUUUGAGAUCAUCUUCUGAUGAUACUCGCCUACCUCUUUGGUUUCUAAUUUAUAUUAUUCACAGGCAAAAUUGCUUUUAUCCAUAGGAAUCUUACAGAACAUAAACACUGUAGUAGAUAUUAGUAGCACAUUGAAGUGUAUCAUGCUUUCCACUUCCAAUAAAAACUAGAUUUCAGGCAGAUAUUAAUAAGUAUAUUUGAAAUUAGACUUUCUCUGAGGAAAGUCAGCAUGAUCUGUAUUCAUCUUACAUAUUGGCUGUAGGUCUUGAGACUCCUUUUGUGGUUGGAGCUGAAACUGAGCUUUUGUUUUCUUUGUCCUAUUUUUAUGAGCAAUCCUUAGGUACUUUAGUGCUGCCUGGUAGGCAGUGCAUCGUUUGGUGAGAGCUCUGGGGUGCCUGCUAAGAGGCUCAGUGUUUGUGAAAGACAACCGUGAGGGGCCUUUGUGAGAAUUCAGCAACCACACUGAAUAGCAGUUCUCUUUACACUGGAUCGUCUUGAUCAGAUGACAGUUUACAAACCAUUUUGAACGUUUUUAUCAUGUAUACAUUUUGAAAGCUUUAAAAAAAAAGUACUGUGGUGUACCUUUGAAAAAUUUAGGUGCAGUAUCGUAUGUUGCCUAUUCUCCUACAUUUGUCUGAGGGAAAAAAAAUACCACUACUAGUUGUCACCACUGGCUGACAAAAUCAGAAAUGUUUUUGGUUUUGUUUUUCCUUCUGGUGAAUAAGUAAGAAGCAGGAAAGAGAUAAUGAAAUAUUUGUGGUCAAAGAAAGAGUCAAAAGAAAUCCCCAAUAGUCUGCAAGAGUGACAUUCCAACUUUCAUAUGAAUUUGUGUCUAAGUAUUCCCGGGGGGCUUGUUAACAGUACAGAUCCCCAGGGCCCCCAGAGGGUCUGAGACUGGGCCCACAAAUGCACACUUUUAUUUUGUUGAGUAUUUGGCCUGAUGCUGAUUCAAGUGGUCUCUGGGGCAUACUUCAAAGAAACACUCCUGUGGAAAAUAUAUCCACUUAAAUAUUGUCUGUUUUAUCCAAAAAAUGUUUGUUUUGUGUUGGAAGCCAUUAUCUCCUAGUGCAUGGAUAAUGCGCAUUGAGAGGAAAGCCUGUAAUUGUGCCUAAUUUGCUGCCACUCGUAUUAGUGCUGGAUCACGCCAGUGUCAGCUUUACCGUCUUUCAACUGGCAAAAUUCUGAUAAACCAUGUAGUUUCACAGAAGAGCAAAAAAGGUGACUUAAUAUUUGAAAGUCAUGAUUUUCAGGAGUCUGAUUCCUCUAAUAUUUUCUUUUCUCAUAGAGAGGUAUCUUUAUUGUACGUAUCCUCCCAAAGCGUAUGAGGGGAAUGCAAAGAUUCAUCCAAUUCCUAUUGCUGUGCUUAUGCCAGCUGUGUUCAGUGGAAGCAUGAAGAACAUAAAAUAACCAUUUUAAUCUAUGUAUUUCAGUUGCUGACAAGGAUAUUUAACUUAAUCUUGAUCUUUGCUUUUGUUUACAUGACAAUAUUUAUGUAUAUAUCACAGGAAAAAUGUUCACUUGCUUGACAUUUUACUCUUCCAUGAUUUUUAGUUUAUGUUUAAAGGACUGUUUAAUUCAAAUUUAUUUUCACAACCAUAGUCUUCAUUGAAAACUCGAUUUUUAUAAUAAUAAAUGAAAACGUCAAAGCACAUGUUUGUUAUUACAAGUAAAUGGUAAUACAGUUCUUAGAUAUAUAUUGGUACUAGUCCUUUGUAAUUUAAAUUAAUUUAUUUUACAAUAGUACCUAACCUAUAUGAAAAAACCUCUUUGAAUUUUGGGUUGCAGUAUUCAAAAUCAAAAUGUAUGAUUAUUUGUGCAUAUUCUUAUUACAACCAGGAAAAGAGCUCCCAAUAAGAAAAUGAAUAAAUGUUUAACAUUUCUAAAAGUGAAGUUUUUUUAAAAGGACUGCUUCAUUUAUCUUAGAAAAAAUUG